GGCUGAACCUCCUUUGGCAGCAAUAACUUCAACCAAACGUUUCCUGUAGUUGCAGAUCAGACGUGCACAACGGUCAGGAGUAAUUCUUGACCAUUCCUCUUUACAGAAGUGUUUCAGUUCAGCAAUAUUCUUGGGAAGUCUGGUGUGAAUCGCUUUCUUGAGGUCAUGCCACAGCAUCUCAAUCGGGUUGAGGUCAGGACUCUGACCGGGCCACUUCAGAAGGUGUAUUUUCUUCUGUUUAAG
rnacentral:lncRNA from 1 species